UACGGAGGGAGCUAGCGUUAUUCGGAAUUACUGGGCGUAAAGCGUGCGCAGGCGGCUUUGCAAGACAGAUGUGAAAUCCCCGGGCUUAACCUGGGAACUGCAUUUGUGACUGCAUGGCUGGAGUGCGGCAGAGGGGGAUGGAAUUCCGCGUGUAGCAGUGAAAUGCGUAGAUAUGCGGAGGAACACCGAUGGCGAAGGCAAUCCCCUGGGCCUGCACUGACGCUCAUGCACGAAAGCGUGGGGAGCAAACAGG
rnacentral:rRNA from 1 species